GAUGAACGCUGGCGGCGUGCCUAAUACAUGCAAGUCGAGCGAACGGACGUGAAGCUUGCUUCUCUGAUGUUAGCGGCGGACGGGUGAGUAACGCGUGGAUAACCUACCUAUAAGACUGGGAUAACUUCGGGAAACCGGAGCUAAUACCGGAUGAUAUUUUGAACCGCAUGGUUCAAAAGUGAAAGACGGUCUUGCUGUCACUUAUAGAUGGAUCCGCGCUGCAUUAGCUAGUUGGUAAGGUAACGGCUUACCAAGGCAACGAUGCAUAGCCGACCUGAGAGGGUGAUCGGCCACACUGGAACUGAGACACGGUCCAGACUCCUACGGGAGGCAGCAGUAGGGAAUCUUCCGCAAUGGGCGAAAGCCUGACGGAGCAACGCCGCGUGAGUGAUGAAGGUCUUCGGAUCGUAAAACUCUGUUAUUAGGGAAGAACAUAUGUGUAAGUAACUGUGCACAUCUUGACGGUACCUAAUCAGAAAGCCACGGCUAACUACGUG
rnacentral:rRNA from 1 species